rnacentral:rRNA from 1 species
AACGCGAAGAACCUUACCAACCCUUGACAUCCUGUGCUAUAUCCAGAGAUGGAUAGUUCCCUUCGGGGACGCAGUGACAGGUGCUGCAUGGCUGUCGUCAGCUCGUGUCGUGAGAUGUUCGGUUAAGUCCGGCAACGAGCGCAACCCACAUCCCUAGUUGCCAGCAGUUCGGCUGGGCACUCUAUGGAAACUGCCCGUGAUAAGCGGGAGGAAGGUGUGGAUGACGUCAAGUCCUCAUGGCCCUUACGGGUUGGGCUACACACGUGCUACAAUGGUAGUGACAGUGGGUUAAUCCCAAAAAACUAUCUCAGUUCGGAUUGUCGUCUGCAACUCGACGGCAUGAAGUCGGAAUCGCUAGUAAUCGCGUAACAGCAUGACGCGGUGAAUACGUUCCCGGGUCUUGUACACACCG